rnacentral:misc_RNA from 1 species
UACGAGUGCCCCAAGCGUUAUCCGGAAUUAUUGGGUGUAAAGGGUGCGUAGGUGGUCUUAUUAGUCUAGUGUUAAAACCUGGGGCUCAACUCCAGAUCUGCACCGGAAACGGUAAGACUAGAGGGUGUGAGAGGUCUGUGGAACUCAUGGUGUAGGGGUGAAAUCCGUUGAUAUCAUGGGGAACACCAAAAGCGAAGGCAGCAGACUGGCACAUUUCCUGACACUGAGGCACGAAAGCGUAGGUAGCGAAUGGG